rnacentral:rRNA from 1 species
AUUGAACGCUGGCGGCAUGCCUUACACAUGCAAGUCGAACGGUAACGCGGGGGCAACCCUGGCGACGAGUGGCGAACGGGUGAGUAGCGCAUCGGAACGUGCCCAAUAGUGGGGGAUAGCUCGGCGAAAGCCGGAUUAAUACCGCAUACGACCUACGGGUGAAAGCGGGGGACCGAAAGGCCCCGCGCUAUUGGAGCGGCCGAUGCCCGAUUAGCUAGUUGGUGAGGUAAAGGCUCACCAAGGCAACGAUCGGUAGCUGGUCUGAGAGGACGACCAGCCAGACGGGGACAGAAGAGCGGACCAGAAUCCUACGGGAGGCAGCAGUGGGGAAUUUUGGACAAUGGGGGAGACCCUGAUCCAGCCAUGCCGCGUGCGGGAAGAAGGCCUUCGGGUUGUAAGCCGCUUUUGGCAGGAACGAAACGGCGUGCGCUAACACCGCGCGCUAAUGACGGUACCUGCAGAAUAAGCACCGGCUAACUACGUGCCAGCCGCCGCGGUAAGAC